rnacentral:lncRNA from 10 species
AGUCUAGUCUGUGACCUGAGCCAUCAUGGUAGGGUGUCCAGGGUGAGGGGAGGGUGGUGUGAAUCCCCAGUAAUGCAGGUCCUUUCCAGGCCAGGCCCCUGGUCCCCAGGAGUGCGGGGAUGCCUGAGGUCUACUGCUGCCUUAUCCAGAGCUGCCAUCCCCGGCGAUGACUCAGAGUUCCUGUGGCCCCAGCAUCAUCCCUCCAUCCCUGGCUGUGAGGCAGGAGCAGAGUUGCAGACCUGAGAGGCCUUGAAUUUGUUUGAUAUAGGACUUUGCCACCAGACAAAGUGCUUUGCCUGUGAGGUCUGGCUUGGCCUGGCCUCUGAGAAAGAACAAACACAGACCUCACUGGAAGGAACCUGGAGAACGGGAGAGGAGAGGCUGCUGCUGUCUGCCCUCCCAGCAGCAGAUAUAAAGACAAUGGGCUUCUAAGUCCCCUAGAGUCCCAGCUGUGUAAUUUAAGGCGAGUUCAUCUCUCACAGCCUCAGUUUCCUCAUUUGCUGGCACCUGUCUUUCUCCUUCAUAGCCAUUGUCACUGUUGCAAUGAUAUCAACAAUGCUUACAUUUCAGAUAGAUCCCCAGCUGGGUUGAAAGGAACGUCAAGACCCUUCCUUUCUUAUGACCUAUGUAUCAACUCCCUUCUACCUUGCCUCCCUCCACUUGGAGCGAGUUCUAGUUGGUGAAAUGUAGCCAGAGGUUCCUGGAAAGGCUUUCCUUCUCAAGUAAAGCCUGGCUCAGAGAAAACCACUGGUCUCUUUCCUUUUCUUCCUCCUGACAUGAACAUGGGGCAGGAAGGAGCAUGGAGAAGACAAGAACAAGGCUCUCAGAAGGAAAUGGUGUGGCUGGAGCCAUGAGAACUGGUUGUGGAGGGGGUGAGGAAGGCAAAUAUAAUUUCUGACCUACGUAAUGAUGUAUGCACAAGAAGCCUCUCUUGAAUGUAUUAAUUCAGUAAACAGUUAUGGAGUCCUUACAAUGUGCUAGUGGGACUUUGAAGAUGAAUCCAAAUUUGGAUCCUGGCCUGGAAAGGCUCAAAGCCCAAUAUGGGAGCCUGGAUACAAAUGUGAAACUUAUCUUCUUUUAUUAACCAAUCAAUCACCUCCUGCCAAAACAACAUCAGCAAAAACAACAGAAAAAAACAAAAACAAAAACAAAAACAAAUCUGUGUACACAAGACCUUUGUUUCCACAGCAGACUUGGCUAAAGGUUUGGGCAUGCAUAUGCAUACCCCCAAAAUUAAAAAUGGAAAAUUGAA